rnacentral:rRNA from 1 species
CCUGCUUUCAGUUGCUACCGGGUCAUGCCGAGCACUCUGAAAGGACUGCCCAGGAGAACGGGGAGGAAGGUGGGGAUGACGCCAAGUCAGCAUGGCCUUUAUGCCUGGGGCCACACACGUGCUACAAUGGCCGGUACAAAGCGCUGCAAAC